rnacentral:rRNA from 1 species
UACGUAGGUCACAAGCGUUACCCGGUUUUAUUGGGCGUAAAGAGUCUGUAGGUGGUUCUCUAAGUCCUGUUUCAAAGACCUCGGCUUAACCGAGGGCAGGGGCAGGAUACUGGAAAACUAGAGUGAUAUCGGGGUUACUGGAAUUUGUAGUGUAGGGGUUAAAUCCGUGGAUACUACAAAGAACACCAAGCGCGAAGGCGGGUAACCAGGUAUAUACUGACACUCAGAGACGAAAGCUAGGGUAG